UCAAGUAAUUAAGUGCAUGUGGUGGAUGCCUUGGCAGUCAGAGGCGAUGAAAGACGUGAUAGCCUGCGAAAAGCUCCGGGGAGGCGGCAAAUAUCCUUUGAUCCGGAGAUGUCUGAAUGGGGGAACCCACCUACUUUAAGGUAGGUAUUGCAACAUGAAUACAUAGUGUUGCAAGGCGAACGAGGGGAAGUGAAACAUCUCAGUACCCUUAGGAAAAGAAAUCAAUUGAGAUUCCCUCAGUAGCGGCGAGCGAACGGGGAUCAGCCCAUUAAGUUAUGUGUGUUUUAGUGGAACGCUCUGGGAAGUGCGAACGUAGAGGGUGAUAUUCCCGUACACGAAAGGGCACACAUAAUGAUGACGAGUAGGGCGAGGCACGUGAAACCUUGUCUGAAUAUGGGGGGACCAUCCUCCAAGGCUAAAUACUCCUGACUGACCGAUAGUGAACCAGUACCGUGAGGGAAAGGCGAAAAGAACCCCUGUGAGGGGAGUGAAAUAGAUCCUGAAACCGCAUGCAUACAAGCAGUGGGAGCACCUUCGUGGUGUGACUGCGUACCUUUUGUAUAAUGGGUCAGCGACUUAUAUUCAGUAGCGAGGUUAACCGUAUAGGGGAGCCGUAGAGAAAUCGAGUCUUAAUAGGGCGUUUAGUUGCUGGGUAUAGACCCGAAACCAGGCGAUCUAUCCAUGAGCAGGUUGAAGGUUGGGUAACACUAACUGGAGGACCGAACCCACUGUCGUUGAAAAGCCAGGGGAUGACUUGUGGAUAGGGGUGAAAGGCUAAUCAAGCCUGGUGAUAGCUGGUUCUCCCCGAAAGCUAUUUAGGUAGCGCCUCGGACGAAUACCAUAGGGGGUAGAGCACUGUUUCGGCUAGGGGGUCAUCCCGACUUACCAAACCGAUGCAAACUCCGAAUACCUAUGAGUACUAUCCGGGAGACAGACUGCGGGUGCUAACGUCCGUAGUCAAGAGGAAAACAAUCCAGACCGCCAGCUAAGGCCCCAAAAUCAUAGUUAAGUGGGAAACGAUGUGGGAAGGCAUAGACAGCUAGGAGGUUGGCUUAGAAGCAGCCACCCUUUAAAGAAAGCGUAAUAGCUCACUAGUCGAGUCGGCCUGCGCGGAAGAUGUAACGGGGCUAAAACUAUGUGCCGAAGCUGCGGAUGUAUACUUUGUAUACGUGGUAGGGGAGCGUUCUGUAAGCCGAUGAAGGUGUGUUGAGAAGCAUGCUGGAGGUAUCAGAAGUGCGAAUGCUGACGUGAGUAACGACAAAACGGGUGAAAAACCCGUUCGCCGAAAGACCAAGGGUUCCAGUCCAACGUUAAUCGGGGCUGGGUGAGUCGACCCCUAAGGCGAGGCCGAAAGGCGUAGUCGAUGGGAAAAUGGUUAAUAUUCCAUUACUUCUGUGUAAUGCGAUGAGAGGACGGAGAAGGCUAAAUCAGCCUGGCGUUGGUUGUCCAGGUGAAAGGAUGUAGGCAUGUAUCUUAGGCAAAUCCGGGGUACUCUAUGCUGAGAUCUGAUAGCAAGCUGUACUUGUACAGCGAAGUGGUUGAUGCCAUGCUUCCAGGAAAAGUCUCUAAGCUUCAGUUACACAGGAAUCGUACCCGAAACCGACACAGGUGGUCAGGUCGAGUAGACCAAGGCGCUUGAGAGAACUCUGCUGAAGGAACUAGGCAAAAUGGUACCGUAACUUCGGGAGAAGGUACGCUGUUGUUGGUGAUGGAACUCGCUUCCUGAGCUGACGACAGCCGCAGAAACCAGGCCGCUGCAACUGUUUAUUAAAAACAUAGCACUCUGCAAACACGAAAGUGGACGUAUAGGGUGUGAUGCCUGCCCGGUGCUGGAAGGUUAAUUGAUGGGGUUAGCGUAAGCGAAGCUCUUGAUCGAAGCCCCAGUAAACGGCGGCCGUAACUAUAACGGUCCUAAGGUAGCGAAAUUCCUUGUCGGGUAAGUUCCGACCUGCACGAAUGGCAUAAUGAUGGCGGCGCUGUCUCCAGCAGAGGCUCAGUGAAAUCGAAAUCGCUGUGAAGAUGCAGUGUACCCGCGGCUAGACGGAAAGACCCCGUGAACCUUUACUGCAGCUUGACACUGAACUUUGACCUUACUUGUGUAGGAUAGGUGGGAGGCUUUGAAGCUGGAACGCUAGUUCCAGUGGAGCCGUCCUUGAAAUACCACCCUGGUAAUGUUGAGGUUCUAACUCUGUCCCGUGAUCCGGGACGAGGACCGUGUCUGGUGGGUAGUUUGACUGGGGCGGUCUCCUCCUAAAGAGUAACGGAGGAGUACGAAGGUGCGCUCAGCGUGGUCGGAAAUCACGCGUAGAGUAUAAAGGCAAAAGCGCGCUUAACUGCGAGACCCACAAGUCGAGCAGGUACGAAAGUAGGUCUUAGUGAUCCGGUGGUUCUGUAUGGAAGGGCCAUCGCUCAACGGAUAAAAGGUACUCUGGGGAUAACAGGCUGAUACCGCCCAAGAGUUCAUAUCGACGGCGGUGUUUGGCACCUCGAUGUCGGCUCAUCUCAUCCUGGGGCUGAAGCAGGUCCCAAGGGUAUGGCUGUUCGCCAUUUAAAGAGGUACGCGAGCUGGGUUUAGAACGUCGUGAGACAGUUCGGUCCCUAUCUACCGUGGGCGCUGGAAAUUUGAGAGGAUCUGCUCCUAGUACGAGAGGACCAGAGUGGACGAACCUCUGGUGUACCGGUUGUGACGCCAGUCGCAUCGCCGGGUAGCUAUGUUCGGAAGGGAUAACCGCUGAAAGCAUCUAAGCGGGAAGCCUACCUCAAGAUAAGAUUUCCCUAGGACUUUAUGUCCUCUAAAGAGCCGUUCGAGACUAGGACGUUGAUAGGUUGGAUGUGGAAGCAUAGUGAUAUGUGAAGCUGACCAAUACUAAUUGCUCGUGAGGCUUGA
rnacentral:rRNA from 1 species